GUCUUGCAUAUUUUUAUUGUUCUACUUACAGAUUGCACUUGUACUGUACGAAUUAGCUGGUCAAUUCCUCUUCCUGAAAAUCCCAGUUUAUCCAGAUUCUCCUUUAAGAAUUUACUAACAAAACCUAGUGCUCCAAUUAU